rnacentral:rRNA from 1 species
CGUGCUUAACACAUGCAAGUCGAACGGAAAGGCCCUGCUUUUGUGGGGUGCUCGAGUGGCGAACGGGUGAGUAACACGUGAGUAACCUGCCCUUGACUUUGGGAUAACUUCAGGAAACUGGGGCUAAUACCGGAUAGGAGCUCCUGCUGCAUGGUGGGGGUUGGAAAGUUUCGGCGGUUGGGGAUGGACUCGCGGCUUAUCAGCUUGUUGGUGGGGUAGUGGCUUACCAAGGCUUUGACGGGUAGCCGGCCUGAGAGGGUGACCGGCUACAUUGGGACUGAGAUACGGCCCAGACUCCUACGGGAGGCAGCAGUGGGGAAUAUUGCACAAUGGGCGGAAGCCUGAUGCAGCAACGCCGCGUGCGGGAUGACGGCCUUCGGGUUGUAAACCGCUUUCGCCUGUGACGAAGCGUGAGUGACGGUAAUGGGUAAAGAAGCACCGGCUAACUACGUGCCAGCAGCCGCGGUGAUACGUAGGGUGCGAGCGUUGUCCGGAUUUAUUGGGCGUAAAGGGCUCGUAGGUGGUUGAUCGCGUCGGAAGUGUAAUCUUGGGGCUUAACCCUGAGCGUGCUUUCGAUACGGGUUGACUUGAGGAAGGUAGGGGAGAAUGGAAUUCCUGGUGGAGCGGUGGAAUGCGCAGAUAUCAGGAGGAACACCAGUGGCGAAGGCGGUUCUCUGGGCCUUUCCUGACGCUGAGGAGCGAAAGCGUGGGGAGCGAACAGGCUUAGAUACCCUGGUAGUCCACGCUGUAAACGGUGGGUACUAGGUGUGGGGUCCAUUCCACGGGUUCCGUGCCGUAGCUAACGCUUUAAGUACCCCGCCUGGGGAGUACGGCCGCAAGGCUAAAACUCAAAGGAAUUGACGGGGCCCCGCACAAGCGGCGGAGCAUGCGGAUUAAUUCGAUGCAACGCGUAGAACCUUACCUGGGUUUGACAUGGAUCGGGAGUGCUCAGAGAUGGGUGUGCCUCUUUUGGGGUCGGUUCACAGGUGGUGCAUGGCUGUCGUCAGCUCGUGUCGUGAGAUGUUGGGUUAAGUCCCGCAACGAGCGCAACCCUUGUUCACUGUUGCCAGCACGUUAUGGUGGGGACUCAGUGGAGACCGCCGGGGUCAACUCGGAGGAAGGUGGGGAUGACGUCAAGUCAUCAUGCCCCUUAUGUCCAGGGCUUCACGCAUGCUACAAUGGCUGGUACAGAGAGUGGCGAGCCUGUGAGGGUGAGCGAAUCUCGGAAAGCCGGUCUCAGUUCGGAUUGGGGUCUGCAACUCGACCUCAUGAAGUCGGAGUCGCUAGUAAUCGCAGAUCAGCAACGCUGCGGUGAAUACGUUCCCGGGGCUUGUACACACCGCCCGUCAAGUCAUGAAAGUUGGUAACACCCGAAGCCGGUGGCCUAACCGUUGUGGGGGAGCCGUCGAAGGUGGGACUGGUGAUUAGGACUAA